AGAUUUAUGAUGGUAGCAGCUUCUUGCUUGUUGUAUAUGCUGUCUUCAUGUAAUCCUUCUGGAUGUAUGUCUCUCUACCAAUACUUUGCUCAUAAUAUAAAGUUCACUGAUAUUUUAAACUUCUAGCAACUUGAAUUCAGUGUCAACUUUCCUUUUGUACUUAAUUAUUUGAGAAAUAAUUAUCAAAAUAUUGGUUGUGAAUAAUUAAGCAUAUACCGUAGAAUAUUGCAAGUUGAAGAAUCUUACUUGUAUCUUAUUUAGGCUCAUAUUCUCUUAUAUGAUUGUCUAUUUACAUCUCAUCUAUCUGACAGCUUUUUCUUCUUUAGACUUCCCCUCAUCGUAUUUCUAGUUCACCCAUUACCUCGUGUGUACAUGCUCAUAUAUUGUUAUGUCCUGUUUUCUAUUAAAACACUCCACCACUCAUCAAUGAACAUAUCCCCUCAUCGUGUUAAGCCCUUGUUAUUAAAUAUAUUUAUCACGGCUAAAGUGCAGAGAAAGAACAGUACUUGUGAUCUUUAAACACCCAAAUGAUACUUGCGACUUGACUCGUGCCUUUAGAGGAUGUACCUUCAUAAACAAAUUUUAUCUUCAUAUGAAUUAAUGGAGCUUGCUAACACUGGUUGGAACGUGGUCAUUAUUUUCUCAUUUCAUCAUUUGUUAAUAUACUGUAUCAAGUCAUGAUAUUUACCCGUCCAAAUAAUAAAUUCUGAUAAGUUAUAAUAUUUCUGUUUUAUUUUUGUUAAUUUUUUUAUUUAUUUUUAUUUUUGUCGCUGUCCUGCAAAUCAACUGAAGCAAUCUGCAAUGUUGAAGUUGCAUUGGUGACACAAAUUGGCGUGCAAAGAAUACCCUUCAGAAGGUUGGCAAGGUUGUGUGGUUUGCGAAAUGAAUCAAACACAUGAGAUUAAAUGAUGUAUGGGCUCGUACAUUCUUUUAACUUGACUGGUC
rnacentral:lncRNA from 1 species